CCAUAAACCUGUCACAGCAUGGCACCCAUUUCCUCACCAGCAGCUCCUCGUGGAGAAAAUAACCCUGACCAGCACCUUUUAAAUCGCCCACCAGACGAACAAGCUCAAACAUCCCAGCAAGAGACAGAUCAAGAGAUUGCUCCUUCACCAACUUACUGCAGGACACGGACAGAGGGAAAUCAGACGGGGAAACCAAAUCCGGAAUCUGAGCUGGAGGGGACUCAACCUCAGCACUACUGGAAACCCUCCUGGGUGCUUGACCGCACUCUUGUCCGGCACCACAGCCAGAACCACAGGAGGCAUCGGCACAUCAUCAGGCUAAACUGCCAGCCAGAUCAUUAUCCAGGAUCAAAGACACCCCUUCAACAGGCAGCACAGGACGCACCCCGACGUCAACCUCCGCCUACACCAACUUAAACCAAGACACACUUUACGGACAGGAAGAAAGUUAACUCUUUCACUGACAUGGCUGGAUGUCUGCUUCAGUUGUUUGUCCAGUGUGCACAGUUCCUCACAAUAAAGCAUUACAUCCCCAAGGA